rnacentral:tRNA from 1 species
GCAUCGAUAGUCCAAUGGUUAGGAUUAAUCGCUUCCAACGAUUAGGUCCGGGUUCGAUUCCCGGUCGAUGCA